GACGAACGCUGGCGGCGUGCUUAACACAUGCAAGUCGAACGGAAAGGCCCUGCUUUUGUGGGGUGCUCGAGUGGCGAACGGGUGAGUAACACGUGAGUAACCUGCCCUUGACUUUGGGAUAACUUCAGGAAACUGGGGCUAAUACCGGAUAGGAGCUCCUGCUGCAUGGUGGGGGUUGGAAAGUUUCGGCGGGUGGGGAUGGACUCGCGGCUUAUCAGCUUGUUGGUGGGGUAGUGGCUUACCAAGGCUUUGACGGGUAGCCGGCCUGAGAGGGUGACCGGCCACAUUGGGACUGAGAUACGGCCCAGACUCCUACGGGAGGCAGCAGUGGGGAAUAUUGCACAAUGGGCGGAAGCCUGAUGCAGCAACGCCGCGUGCGGGAUGACGGCCUUCGGGUUGUAAACCGCUUUCGCCUGUGACGAAGCGUGAGUGACGGUAAUGGGUAAAGAAGCACCGGCUAACUCCGUG
rnacentral:rRNA from 1 species